GCACAAGCGGUGGAGCAUGUGGUUUAAUUCGACGCAACGCGAAGAACCUUACCUGGGCUCGAAAUGUAGUGGAAUCCGGCAGAAACGUCGGCGUCUAGCAAUAGACCGCUAUAUAGGUGCUGCAUGGCUGUCGUCAGCUCGUGUCGUGAGAUGUUGGGUUAAGUCCCGCAACGAGCGCAACCCUUAUCUCCAGUUGCUACCAUUUAGUUGAGCACUCUGGCGAAACCGCCUCGGAUAACGGGGAGGAAGGUGGGGAUGACGUCAAGUCCUCAUGGCCUUUAUGUCCAGGGCUACACACGUGCUACAAUGGCCGGUACAAACCGCUGCAACCCCGCGAGGGUGAGCUAAUCGGAAAAAGCCGGCCUCAGUUCGGAUUGGAGUCUGCAACUCGACUCCAUGAAGCUGGAAUCGCUAGUAAUCGUGGAUCAGCAUGCCACGGUGAAUACGUUCCCGGGC
rnacentral:rRNA from 1 species